rnacentral:snoRNA from 2 species
CCCCUCUCAGGGUCACACCUAGAGAAUUUCCAGAACUCUACCACUCUUGGCUACAGGAGGGAGAGUCAAGCAGAGGCCUAUCCAUUCCUUUCCUAGCUUGGCCAGUGGCUAGUGAGUGGAAGGCGAUCUGCUACAAGU